ACGGAGGAUUCAAGCGUUAUCCGGAUUUAUUGGGUUUAAAGGGUGCGUAGGCGGUUAGAUAAGUUAGAGGUGAAAUACCGGUGCUUAACACCGGAACUGCCUCUAAUACUGUUUAGCUAGAGAAUAGUUGCGGUAGGCGGAAUGUAUGGUGUAGCGGUGAAAUGCUUAGAGAUCAUACAGAACACCGAUUGCGAAGGCAGCUUACCAAACUAUAUCUGACGUUGAGGCACGAAAGCGUGGGGAGCAAACAG
rnacentral:rRNA from 1 species